GGCGACGUAGCUCAAUGGCAGAGCAGGGGACUCAUAAGCCCUUGGUUCCCAGUUCAAAUCUGGGCGUCGCCA
rnacentral:tRNA from 1 species